CAUGCAGUCGAGCGGAACGAUGAUAGCUUGCUAUCAGGCGUCGAGCGGCGGACGGGUGAGUAAUACUUAGGAAUCUACCUAGUAGUGGGGGAUAGCACGGGGAAACUCGUAUUAAUACCGCAUACGACCUACGGGAGAAAGGGGGCAGUUUACUGCUCUCGCUAUUAGAUGAGCCUAAGUCGGAUUAGCUAGAUGGUGGGGUAAAGGCCUACCAUGGCGACGAUCUGUAGCUGGUCUGAGAGGAUGAUCAGCCACACCGGGACUGAGACACGGCCCGGACUCCUACGGGAGGCAGCAGUGGGGAAUAUUGGACAAUGGGGGAAACCCUGAUCCAGCCAUGCCGCGUGUGUGAAGAAGGCCUUUUGGUUGUAAAGCACUUUAAGCAGUGAAGAAGACUCCGUGGUUAAUACCCACGGACGAUGACAUUAGCUGCAGAAUAAGCACCGGCUAACUCUGUGCCAGCAGCCGCGGUAAUACAGAGGGUGCAAGCGUUAAUCGGAAUUACUGGGCGUAAAGGGAGCGUAGGUGGCUCGAUAAGUCAGAUGUGAAAUCCCCGGGCUCAACCUGGGAACUGCAUCUGAUACUGUUGAGCUAGAGUAUGUGAGAGGAAGGUAGAAUUCCAGGUGUAGCGGUGAAAUGCGUAGAGAUCUGGAGGAAUACCGAUGGCGAAGGCAGCCUUCUGGCAUAAUACUGACACUGAGGCUCGAAAGCGUGGGUAGCAAACAGGAUUAGAUACCCUGGUAGUCCACGCCGUAAACGAUGUCUACUAGUCGUUGGGUCCCUUGAGGACUUAGUGACGCAGCUAACGCAAUAAGUAGACCGCCUGGGGAGUACGGCCGCAAGGUUAAAACUCAAAUGAAUUGACGGGGGCCCGCACAAGCGGUGGAGCAUGUGGUUUAAUUCGAUGCAACGCGAAGAACCUUACCUGGUCUUGACAUAUCUAGAAUCCUGCAGAGAUGCGGGA
rnacentral:rRNA from 1 species